UACACAGAGACAGAGAAGAUUAUCACUGUAAAAUAAGUAGUGGAAAUUACCAACCAAACUGGGUGGAUGAACCAAAGCAUUCUAAAUCUACAAUCAACUUCAAUUACCCCUCCUCCCCCAUCAUUCCUUACAGUUAUCAUUCUCAUUCGCAUUCAUUGAAUUGAUGGAUAAACAGCCUAUCCAAGGUUUCCACAGAACCAACCCUACAUAAUUAAUGGCUUCAUCAUCAUCUUAUCUCAAAAUCAAUCAUUCAAAUCCAAUACCCCUUGCUCUUACUUCUUCACUCCACCGCCCCUCCUCCACCUCCACCUCAAAAGCCCUAACUUUUUCAAGACUACCAUACCCCAAAUUGAGCUCAAAAUUGGUAUUGAAUCUAUCAACAAAAACCCUAAUUAGAACUCAUUCCAGUCGUAGAUUUUGCACACCCCCUGCUAAUAAUCCUGUAAUUAAAGUUUCCAACAGUGAAAUUGAAGGCGAUGAAGGGCACAGGGAGAAUUUGCAGCAGCAGCAGCAGGAGGAGGAGAAGGAGAAAGUCAGUCAAUUCAAGAAAAGGGUUGUUUUUGGGGUUGCAAUUGGGGUUGGUGUUGGUGGGGUUGUGUUAGCUGGAGGAUGGAUUUUCACAGUGGCGUUAGCUGCUGUAGUAUACAUUGGUGCAGGUGAGUAUUUUGAGUUGGUUAGAAGUCAGGGUAUUACUUCAGGGAUGACACCGUUACCGCAAUAUUUAACACGUAUUUGUUCUGUUAUUUGUGCGUUGAUGCCUGUGCUUACAUUGUAUUACGGUCGGAUUGAUGUUUCGUUGACAUCAUCUGCAUUUGUUGUUGCUGUUGCAUUGCUUUUACAAAGUGGGAAUCCUCGUUUUGCGCAGUUGAGUAAUGCAAUGUUUGGGUUGUUUUAUUGUGGUUAUUUGCCUUGUUUCUGGGUUAAAUUGAGAUGUGGUUUGGCUGCUCCGGCUUUGAAUUCGGGGGUAGGAGCUGUGUGGCCUAUUUUACUUGGUGGUCGAGCUCAUUGGACUGUGGGUUUAGUGGCAACUUUGAUUUCAUUUAGUAGUAUUAUUGCGGCGGAUACGUAUGCGUUUCUUGGUGGAAAGACAUUUGGUCGUACACCACUUACUACUGUUAGUCCAAAGAAGACGUGGGAAGGCGCAAUUGCAGGAUUGAGUGGUUGUAUAGCCACUGCGCUAAUGUUAUCAAAAGUUUUUUGCUGGCCAACAUCUUUACUGAAUGCGGCUGCUUUUGGAUUGCUGAAUUUCGUGGGGUCAUUGUUUGGUGACCUUAUUGAAUCCAUGAUUAAGCGUGAGGCUGGUGUCAAAGACUCUGGAUCCCUUAUCCCUGGGCAUGGUGGAAUACUUGAUAGAGUGGACAGCUACAUAUUCACUGGAGCUCUCGCAUACUCAUUUGUUAGAACCUUCUUACCGCUUUAUGGGGUUUGAUCUGUACAGUAAUCAACUCGAAAAGAAAAAACAGGGAAAAUUCUCUGGUUCUUCAAUUCUCGAAUUGGGACAACGUCGAUGACAAGCAAAUAUGUACAAUUUGAGGAUAGAAGAUGUGCAAAUGAAGGACUGCAAAAGGAUUAUCAUCGUGUAUGCAGUAGGCACUGUUUUUCUGGAAGGGAAUAAGGAUUACUGACUGAAGCUGGUGUAUAAAAAGCAGGGAUUUUGGAACUGUAUUUGGGGUAGAGAAGCAAAUUUUUAACCGAUUCAGGAAGAGCUUCCGCAGAUCCAAGAUCGUCAAAGCUAUUUAUAAUGGCUAAAUAAGGCCCUGCAAGUAGGUACGGUAACUCAAGGGGUUACAUAAACCAUGAACAGUAUUAGAAGCAAUGGUGCAGAUAAAAUACAUAUGUUAUGUAGUUCAGUUAGCGAAGCAGAUUCAUCGC